rnacentral:rRNA from 1 species
UACGGGGGGGGCAAGCGUUGUUCGGAAUUACUGGGCGUAAAGGGCGCGUAGGUGGCCUUCUAAGUUGAACGUGAAAUCCCUGGGCUCAACCCAGGAACUGCGUCCAAGACUGGGAGGCUUGAAUCCGGGAGAGGGAUGCGGAAUUCCAGGUGUAGCGGUGAAAUGCGUAGAUAUCUGGAGGAACACCGGUGGCGAAGGCGGCAUCCUGGACCGGUAUUGACACUGAGGCGCGAAAGCCAGGGGAGCAAACGGG